rnacentral:rRNA from 1 species
AUUGAACGCUAGCGGGAUGCCUUACACAUGCAAGUCGAACGGAGCGGCGAACGGGUGAGUAAUGUAUCGGAACGUGCCCAGUAGUGGGGGAUAACUACGCGAAAGCGUAGCUAAUACCGCAUACUAUUGGAGCGGCCUAGAUCGGAUUAGCUAGUUGGUGGGGUAACGGCCUACCAAGGCGACGAUCCGUAGCUGGUUUGAGAGGAUGACCAGCCACACUGGGACUGAGACACGGCCCAGACGCCUACGGGAGGCAGCAGUGGGGAAUUUUGGACAAUGGGCGAAACCCUGAUCCAGCCAUCCCGCGUGUGCGAAGAAGGCCUUCGGGUUGUAAAGCACUUUUAGCAGGAAGGCGGUACCUGCAGAAUAAGCACCGGCUAACUACGUGCCAGCAGCCGCGGUAAUAC